GCAGUUCUCACCUCGCCGUUGGUCGCACUCUCAGUCUCCGUAGCUCGCUCGCUCUCGGGUUCGGGUGGAAAGGUGGAGACUCUCAGGAAAUCUAUUAUGGUGUAUACCAUAGCUUCCUUUCCCAUGAGAAACUUACCAUGUAGUUGGAAAGAUGAUAUAAAAGGAAACGAUUUCAGUAAUUUUUUAAAGUACCAUCAAUAAUAGAGGAAUGCAAAUUUCAGAAAAAUCUGACCUAGUCUGAAAGGAUCAAGGAAGAUGGCAUGCAAGGGAAUUAUUGAGCUCAAUUUUGAAAGAUGAUUUGGAAUUAUUCGGAGAGGGUAAAAAGAGUUUGUGGACCGAGGGAUAUUCUAGACAGAAGAACAUCAUGAACAAAGACGUAGAGGUGUCAAACAGCAUGCCAGCAGGGAUAGUUCUGACAGCAGCUGAGAUGGUCAAGUUAAUACCCUGAAGCAAGCUCAGAAAAAGGCUUGAGAAACAUCUGCAGCUCAAGCCUGUCCACAGAGGAUGCUCCAGGAGGUGCAGCUGCAUAAUGGCCAGCUCAGAACCCAGAUCUCCUGCUGCCCGGCACAGUGCCCUUUGGUGACACCUGCUCCCCAUCUCAAGGAUCCACUCUCCAUGGUUUGCCAUCCAGCCCUGGACCCAGGAGGCCUGACCUAUGUAGAUGGCUUCAAGAGUUUCCUUUGGCUUCCGGCUUCAGGUUGGGUCCAGUCAAUGGAAGUGCAGGUUAUUAGCAGAAGACCCUUAGGUGGCAGGAGAAUGGAGGCAGAUAUUUAUUGUCCCAGCUUCCUUCCUGCUGGGUUCCUGACAAGUGUGCUCUGAACCUAGCCAGAGGCCAUAGCUCCUGCCAGGUGGACCCUCCACAGAGCUGCCUCCCCAGGCUAUGUGACCAUUAGCCUUCAUGCUUAGAGGUAAUAACUGCCCCUGAGGUGGCAAACCUUGGGGGAAUGGCACCAUCACUUGUUACCUUCCCUAAACCAUGCCCACACACUUUAAGUAGUCCUUUCUGUUAAAUUCUCCUCCAAGUAUCCAAUGUGAGUUUUCCAUUUGAUUUUUGCCAACACCUUGAAUGCUGAAGUGUGUUCACUCUUUGCCUUUGUGUGAACUAAGCAUAUGGCAAAAAGUGCUAACACAAUCUCGAUUGUGUGGAGAAAUUCUGUACUCUCAAACUGCUUUAUUAAUAUGUCUCAUCUUCCUUUUCUUUAAGAAGAAACCAAAGCUCCAGUUUCCAGCCAGCUCUAAAUCUCUCUUGAGGUCAGCUUGCCCGCAGUCUGUCAGGAUUCAAGGGGUGAUUGCUACUGUUCGGGUUGGACAUUUUACAAUCCAUAUGCAGCCUCCAUCCCCUAGAAUAUGUGAACUAGAAAGAGGACAGAUAUUCUUAUGAUUGUUAUUGAAAAAUUAUUAAGUAAUUUUUUUCUUUUGUGUCCUUUUCCCUCGUAGGCAACUGGUCCUCUCACCAUAGCCUUUCAUUACACAUACACACUCUGUCGCAUUAAAAGGCUAGACUCUAGAAGCCAGAGACAUAAAAGCUUAACCUCUCAUAGUUAAAAAAAUAUAUAAAUGUUAUGGACUGAAUUGUGUACCCUAAAAAUUCACAUGUUGAAGCCAUAACCCAACAAUGUGGCUCUAUUUGGAGAUAUAAAUUUUAGAAGGUAAUUAAGGUUAAAUGAGAUCAUAAAGGUCGGAGCCCUAAUCUGAUAGUAUUAGUGGCCUUAUAAGAAGAAGAGAUCACACUUUGUCUCCCUUCCUGUCUCCCUGGCCCCCUCCCCCCACACCACUGCCGUCCCCACCGCGUGAGGACACAGCGAGAAGGUAGUUGUCUACAAGCCAGAAAGAGGGUUCUCAUCAGGAACUGAACCAGCCGGCACCUUGAUCUUGGACUUCCCAGCCUCCAGAACUAAAGAGAAAUAAAUAUCUGUUGUUUAAGC
rnacentral:lncRNA from 1 species